CGAGGCGAUAAAGUGCCGGCCUUUGCUCCGACAAGAACUGUUCUCUGCAACCACGUUGACUCUGUACUGCACUCCUUAAAGUCAUACUGAUGCAGUUACAGUGCAGAAACAGGUGACAGGAGGCGGAGUGGCUGAGACAGAGAGAGACGCUGCACCAGCAAGGUGAUUCUGAAGCUUUGAGGUGAAACAGUUACAUAAUGAUGCUUUAAUCAAAGAAAGAUAUUCGCACAGCCGACUGACUCGAAUGCUUUGAAAACCUUAAAAAAAAAGAAAAGAUCCCGCUCUCUGCUCUCACUCACCGCCACAAUUUAUUCAUUUUGCUGAAGCGUCGGUCCCUCUGGACCGUCCUCAAGCGUGUUUCAAACGAUUCCCACCACAAUGAUCUUAAAUAGACAAUGUUCUGCCCGUUCACUGUGCGAAGGUGUGGGUCAGUUCUCCUGUGGGAGUGGGAACAAAGGAAAAGGUUACUGUGAUACAGCAGGCGGGCGUCCCGCCCCCUGACUACUGCACAGAUUCCCGCAUUCAUGAUACCUUGGAUUUACCUUUUGCACUGAAGAGGAAGCUGUGAGGUCCAUCUUCAUAGACAAAUAGUAGGAUCAGUCUAUUAUUAGUAUGUUAUAGUACAAAGAAGUGACCCAAGAUUAAUAAUUCAUCAGUACAAUUACAUAUUUCUUACACAAGAGGAAAGCCAGCACACGUGCACACUACUCCAACACGGUCAGCCCUGUUUGCAGCCUCGUGUUUCCACAUAAAUGGAAAUAAAAUCUAAAUUAUAACCCAGCGAGCAAUUUUGGCUUGAACCACAACAACGUCCUUUUUUUAAUCGAACAUGAAUCGAGUCGAUGGCAAUACGCUGGCAUUGUGCUGAUUGAUGCAGAAAUGAAACAAAUGAAUGAAUCAGUUUUUAGUCGGCCUCUUUCAGGCCGGAUAUAGAAUGAAGGUGACCAGGUUUGUGUCCAGGUUUCCCAUUUUUGACUGAAAAGAAAGUGUUUUUUGUUGUUGUUGUUUUUUUUAAAUGCAGCAUACAAAAACAAACCAAAAAGAGAACGCAGCACAAAGAAAACCUUUUGAGCGGUUUUCAGUUUUUAUAAUGUCGUUCUGUGUGAAGUGCUGUUUUGUAGAAGCAAUCAAAGCUGCCGACUUUUCCCUUUUCCCUCCGGAGAAAAAACAGAAACAAAAUACAGAUAAAGUCACCCUGAAAUCAAGAUUUAGAACCAAACUUUAAAAGUUGCUCUUUGCUGGAGCUCUUUUUUAAGCUUUUUGACACGAAAUGUUUGUCUCUAAACUUUCACAUUCACAGUCACAGCAGGUAUAAGCUGCACAGGACUGUCCUCAGAUUGAUCUGUUCUCUGUUUUUAAAAGGAUUCGUCUCAGAUAUUUACAUGCUUGAAGAGCAACACAGUCACAUCUUCACACUCUGGUCCCCCUACGAGCUACAGAGGAGGGGAACUGUACGGUGGUGGAGAAAAUCUCUUUAUUUGACUGUGAGAAGUUAUAUGUUGUCCUCCCGCACAUGGAAACCCGUUCAAUCCUUUUUUAUCUGGGUGGAAAGAAAGAGGACAGGAUGUCGGUCCAGCACGUCUUUACCUUCAUCGUGGGUGUCAUUAUUUAACUGUCCUAUCAGGUUCCACGUUUAGCUCGCUGAGACAGGAGAGAAGCUGUCGUGUUUACUCAGAAAGAAACAAAACUCCAAGUCAAGCGUUGGAUGGAUUUGACAGGUCAUGGAGACAGUCGCCCAAACAAGAAAAGUGCCCCGGGCCUGCUGGGAAAGAAUGAGAACGCCAAAAUCAAGGAGACGCAGCGAGAGUACGAGAAGGAGUUUCUUCCAGCUGUGAAAUGGCCUAUUUUCCCUUCUGUGUUUACUGGAAACGGAAUUACUUCAAAUUAACGCGAAAAGAAAACAGUGCAGAUUCAGCGAGCGACUUCUACGGUUAUGAAGGAUGUCACUACGCAGACUGUGAGCUGUUUUUUUACACACAGAUUGAAAAUAAGAUCAAGAACUUAUCACGCAAAAAUAAUGUCGAUACAUUCAGGAACAAUGAUAAAACCAGAUUCUGAGGUUCAGGCUUCCUGCUCACACAGGCAUUCUGGGUAAUGAGAGAGUGGACAAUCAAGCCAAACAAGCUGUAAACACAGACGUCCAAAAUCAAUAGUGGCAGCAUUGCUGGUAUCAGGAGAUAAGGUGGAGACGUUCAAUUCAAAACAGCGCAGUGUGAGAAAAUAGGAGAGGAAAUAGAAAAAAAAAAAAGGUGGAGAGAGAGAGAAGACGAGAAACGGACUGAAUUUCAUCCUGCGUGGAAACUCUGCUGCAACUGGCUGAAAUUCAGUCGCACUUGGCUUGCCGUAAUUACAUGGCACACGACGAGAACGAGACAAACUGUAUGGAUUCGUUAUGUUUUCCUGGUUUGCAUUCGACAGCCAUGGAACAAAAAACCCCAGGAUAUGGUGAAAGGAGCAGGUGUUCGUCGAGUUAAAGGUGUCUUGUUAUCGUGUCAAACAUGUUUUCAUCGAAGGUUGGAUGAGAUUCCACUCACACUGCGGCGUGCUCAUUAUCCUGUCACCUCCUUAUCCUGCCUUGACAAAAUGUCGGUGAUGUCAGAUUACGUAAUUCAUGUUGUGCUCGAUGCCAAACACUGAAAAAUCUACCUUCCUGACUCUAAAAACGAAGAGAAUAAAACAAGAUCGUUAAACGUGCGAUAUGUAACG